AUGGGUGAGCUUGUUGACAUGAAGAAGCGUGGUGAUGGUCUUGGGGAGAAUCUGUACCUCCGGAUUCCCAGCUCAUCUGUCAGUAAGAUGACAGGUGCACUCAAGAUUGCACUCCCAGUCAUGGCAAGUCUGCUGAUACUUGUGUGCAUUUGUCUUGUCUGGAUACGCAAGUCGAGAGGCAAGUACCAUACCAAGGGACCCAUGAAUUUUGUGAUGCCAAAACAACUGAGCAAUUCCGAUGAACUAUAUGAUGAGAAUUCAGAAUAUCUGUGGAUCAGCUUCAAAGACAUCUUCCCUGCUACAGGUGGUUUCUCUGACUCCAAUGUGCUUGGAAAAGGAGGCUUUGGCAUAGUAUACAAGGGGACACUGGAAGGUGGCAAGGAAGUUGCUGUUAAAAGGCUUACCAAGUAUUCUGACCAAGGAAUGGAGCAUUUGAGAAAUGAAGUAGUUCUCAUCUCAAAAGUGCAGCACAGAAACUUAGUUAGACUUCUUGGUUACUGUAUUCACGGAGCUGAGAAGCUUCUUAUUUAUGAAUACUUACCCAACAAAAGCUUAGACUACUUCCUGUUUUAUGAUGCUAAAAGGCCUAUGCUUGAUUGGCCAACAAGGUUUAGCAUAAUCAAAGGGGUAGCUAGAGGACUUAUGUACCUCCACCAUGAUUCAAGAAUGAGAUAA
rnacentral:rRNA from 1 species